AACGCUAGCUACAGGCUUAACACAUGCAAGUCGAGGGGCAGCAUGAACUUAGCUUGCUAAGUUUGAUGGCGACCGGCGCACGGGUGAGUAACGCGUAUCCAACCUUCCGUACACUCAGGGAUAGCCUUUCGAAAGAAAGAUUAAUACCUGAUGGUAUGAUGAGAUUGCAUGGUAACAUCAUUAAAGAUUUAUCGGUGUACGAUGGGGAUGCGUUCCAUUAGAUAGUAGGCGGGGUAACGGCCCACCUAGUCGACGAUGGAUAGGGGUUCUGAGAGGAAGGUCCCCCACAUUGGAACUGAGACACGGUCCAAACUCCUACGGGAGGCAGCAGUGAGGAAUAUUGGUCAAUGGGCGCGAGCCUGAACCAGCCAAGUAGCGUGAAGGAUGAAGGUCCUACGGAUUGUAAACUUCUUUUAUAAGGGAAUAAAGUCACCUACGUGUAGGUGUUUGUAUGUACCUUAUGAAUAAGCAUCGGCUAACUCCGUGCCAGCAGCCGCGGUAAUACGGAGGAUGCGAGCGUUAUCCGGAUUUAUUGGGUUUAAAGGGAGCGUAGACGGGUCGUUAAGUCAGCUGUGAAAGUUUGAGGCUCAACCUUAAAAUUGCAGUUGAUACUGGCGUCCUUGAGUACGGUUGAGGCAGGCGGAAUUCGUGGUGUAGCGGUGAAAUGCAUAGAUAUCACGAAGAACUCCGAUUG
rnacentral:rRNA from 1 species